UUUUUUAAUUGAAUUAAUUAUUAAACCCUUCCACUAAUAGCACGAAAAGUGCUGCUCUAACCAGUUUCACUCUUUCUGCCAAUCAUGUCUUUUCCCGCCAUUUUCACUAUCUUCUGUGAGGUGAUGGAGCUCCAAAAUCUCACAAUUUCGUGCUCUUGCAUGUCCGGGUACCGAUUUUUAUGGAGCCCGAAGAAAAGGCCGCGGCGAGGAAUAGUAGUCAUGGAAAUUCAUAAGUUGGGGCUUUUGCUUGAGCAUAAGCUGAGGCUUGGGGUUUCGCUUCUUAUCUCGUUUGUUGCAAUAUUUGUACCUUUUCGACGCCCUUAUUUGACGUCCUUCUUUGGUGCCACCCCGAUAUUUUGAAGUGCUUAUAGGCGUAAGGCCAGACUCUCGGUGGAGGCUGCUUGGCAAGGUUGGAUUUUUAACUCUCGGUGGAGGCUGCUUGGCAAGGUUGGAUUUUUAAAGUCAUUGGAACCAAUUUUUCUCUGUGAUUUCACUGUUGGAGAUAAGAUGCUAAAAGCUCAUAUUUUCAGAUGGGUUUUGAUUCCGAAGGUCGGUGAACUUAGUGCUUUAUGACAUCUGAUUUGGAAUCUAUUAUAGAUGAAAGGGAUUGCUGGUUUAAGGUACUUCUUUUUUUUUUUUCAAGGUAAGCCAUUCUAUUCUGGAGCAAAAGUGAGCUUUAUAUUGGGGACUCAUGUUGCUAAUGGUCUCUGUUCAGGUGGCAUUCACAUACCUGAAAAAAUGUUGCCCCGUAUUGAUACAAUAAGAUUACUUUUCAUAUGUCUACCUAUGAGAUUUCCAUCUAUGAUUCUACUGCCGGAAGCUGCUGAUGUCUUGGAUAUAUGCAUAUUUUUUGCUCUUGCCCCAACUGGCAUCAAUGCUGGACUUGCAGAUUCUGAGUUUGUCUGUUUUAGUUGGUUUAGUAUUUCGUCUUAUAUCACUUCUUCUACUGUCUUUAUUCUGUAUCUAAUAUAGUCUACACAAUGAUAAAUUAUCUUAUAAAUGUUUUUGAUUGAUAAUUUUAGCAUUCUAAUUUGACUACUAUAUAUUUGUUGUCACAUUGUACACAUGCUGGAGCCUCAUAAAUUUCAGGGUGUAGCAAGGCCUAUAGUAUAUGUUCAUUAUUUCUCCUAUUGUCAUCAUUUCACAAACAUUUAUCGAGUAACCAAACUGGAUUACCUUGUUUAUACUCCAACUAGGUUGUCAGUUAACCAGUUACCCCGCUGGUUCAUGCCAGUUCACUCUGAAUUCUAAAGAAGGGUUUGGAUUGUUAAACUGUACUAGACCGCGCUCUGAUUCUUGAUUAACCGUGUCCAAUCCGGGAUUAACAACACUAUCCAGUUGUUCUCUUGCCAAACUGGCUCUUGGAAGGAAGAAAUGGGAGACGGCUACUUUCAGUUCUUUGGUCUAUAUUCCUUGAUGUUUUGGGAAAUUCAUUCAUUUUAUACUUUUUUCGUUGACUUGUCUAGAAUUUUGUAGCAUUACCUUGAAAGCAAAAGGGGGCACAUAUGAUGCUCUGCUUAAUGAUUUUUCUUCAAGAUAGAUUUUCUAUUUUUGUUUCUUCCUGCCUUGUUUCAUUUAAUGUUCACUUUUCAUCUAUUCUAAUUAUCUGAGCAAGUUUGAUAAUUUUGGAUAACUUCGUAACAAUAUGCAAGACAAUUGAAACAUGGAGUGACCACUGCCUUCUCUUGCUCUGUGCAGAGACACUAAUGAGUACCAUUUAAACAAGUGGAAACCAAGCAAUAUUUUCUUUCUUUUUGCUAAAUUAC